rnacentral:rRNA from 1 species
GCAGAACCUUACCAACCCUUGACAUCCCCGGACCGGCCUGGAGACAGGUCUUCCACUUCGGUGGCCGGGUGACAGGUGCUGCAUGGCUGUCGUCAGCUCGUGUCGUGAGAUGUUCGGUUAAGUCCGGCAACGAGCGCAACCCACGUCCCCAGUUGCCAGCAUUCAGUUGGGCACUCUGUGGAAACUGCCGGUGAUAAGCCGGAGGAAGGUGUGGAUGACGUCAAGUCCUCAUGGCCCUUACGGGUUGGGCUACACACGUGCUACAAUGGUGGUGACAGUGGGUUAAUCCCCAAAAGCCAUCUCAGUUCGGAUUGUCCUCUGCAACUCGAGGGCAUGAAGUUGGAAUCGCUAGUAAUCGCG